rnacentral:rRNA from 1 species
GACGAACGCUGGCGGCGUGCUUAACACAUGCAAGUCGAGCGGAGCGGCGAACGGGUGAGUAACGCGUGAGUAAAUGCCCCCCUCUAUGGGGUAACAGUUGGAAACGGCUGCUAAUACCGGCUAGUGGGGGAUGACUCGCGUCGUAUCUGCUUGUUGGUGGGGUAGUGGCCUACCAAGGCGACGACGGGUAGCCGGCCUGAGAGGGCGACCGGCAACAUUGUGCUGAGAUACGGCCGAAACUCCUACGGGAGGCAGUAGGGGGGAAUAUUGCACAAGGGGGGAAACCCUGAGGCAGCAACGCCGGGGGCGGGAUGACGGCCUUCGGGUUGUAAACCGCUUUCAGCCAUGACGCGGUAGUGGCAGAAGAAGCACCGGCUAACUACGUGCCAGCAGCCGCGGUAAUAC